AGUGAACGCUGGCGGUAGGCCUAACACAUGCAAGUCGAACGGCAGCACAGUAAGAGCUUGCUCUUACGGGUGGCGAGUGGCGGACGGGUGAGGAAUACAUCGGAAUCUACUUUUUCGUGGGGGAUAACGUAGGGAAACUUACGCUAAUACCGCAUACGACCUACGGGUGAAAGCAGGGGAUCUUCGGACCUUGCGCGAUUGAAUGAGCCGAUGUCGGAUUAGCUAGUUGGCGGGGUAAAGGCCCACCAAGGCGACGAUCCGUAGCUGGUCUGAGAGGAUGAUCAGCCACACUGGAACUGAGUCACGGUCCAGACUCCUACGGGAGGCAGCAGUGGGGAAUAUUGGACAAUGGGCGCAAGCCUGAUCCAGCCAUACCGCGUGGGUGAAGAAGGCCUUCGGGUUGUAAAGCCCUUUUGUUGGGAAAGAAAAGCAGCAGGUUAAUACCCCGCCGUUCUGACGGUACCCAAAGAAUAAGCACCGGCUAACUUCGUG
rnacentral:rRNA from 1 species